UGCAGUGGGUGGGCUGAGGGUUGAGGUGUGGAGUAACAGUCCCUCACGUGGCCGCCUCCCUCCCUCAGGGCAGCCCCUCCAAGGACUCCCCCCCUGGCUAGCUCUGUGGAAGGGUCUGCUGUCCCCUUCUAUAAAGUGAGCGGCCUCCCUUUGCCCCUUAGAGCCAGCAGUAUCAGGGACAAUGUCCCCCAGGCCUACUGCACCCCCAGCACUGUUGUUUCUGGGAUUUAGGGCUCUUAGGGGACUCUUCCAGGGAUCCAGAGAUGUGUGUGCCAAGGCUCUGCCCUUGUAUUUCAGAAGCUCCACCAUGGGGUAAGAUGCGCUCCCUGCACACACUGAACCCUCAACCUGAGUUCCCCCGCCUGCCACAGAUUGUCCCAGGGCUGGGCAUCUGCUGAUCCCAAAGCAAAAUCUUCGCCUUGAAGCCUGUUUUGCUGCUCCAGUGUGAAGUCCAAGUUAUCUCACUUUUGGGCAGAGAAAUAAGACCUCCCUUCUUUGUGGCUGAAAGAUCUCAGGCACCUAUCAGCCUGUUCUAAUACUGGGUGGAUUUCUAGCUGUUUGGUAGGUAAACAUGAUGACCUUGUGCAGAGUGGAGGGGCCUGGGUUUGAACCCCAUGUUUGGCUGGGACCUUGGAUAACCUCUCUGAAUCUGCUUGCCUAUCUGUAAAAUGGGUAUAAUGAUAAGAACUACCUCCUAGGGUUAUUGGGAUGAUGAAAGGAUAUAAUCCAUGCACAGUACACAGGACCUGGCAGAGGCCCAGUGAAUGGUUACUGUCAUUAGUAACUGAUCAUGGGAGAUGAGACAGGAGAAAGAUAAACCUCAGUGUGAGUUCCAGCCCAGAGGGAAGGUGAACUGAAGCCCAGCGCUACUUCCACCCUCCCCGCUAAUGCUGGCCAGGAGGAUGGAGGAGCUAGGGGGAAGGAUGGUAUUCAAGAUAAAGGGGCCGCCUAGCACAAUGGGAAGUGCCAAAUUAGGGGUGAAGAUGCCAUCUCUGAGGUGCAUAGAAGAGCAGGUGGAGGUGAGAAGGGAAGGAGUGGGAGUGAGGCAAAGGUCAGCUCAUCCCCCACAGGCUGCCAAAGGGGGAGUCAGGGUUCAAAGGUCCAGUUCUAGAGGGGUAGGGUUGCCAUGAACACAGUCUCCCCAUCUAUGGGGAUCGAAAAUGGGAUCUCACCACCAGAAUGGGGUAGAAUGUUUCUGGGUGACCUGCUCUUUUCUUUUCAUUGUGCUGUGAGCUUCUGAGGUCCCCAGGGGAGCCAAAGCAAACUGGGAAAGGGAUGGGUCUUCACAGCCUGCUCUGGAGCCCUCCCAGAGACACGUGGCUCUCUCUGGAGCAUGAGUGUGCAGCCAGCUUUGGGGUGAAAUCUAGCUCUUCCCCUCCCGGAGGAACCUGGCUACCCCCAGGGAUUUAGCACAGGGACUUUUCUGCGUACCGCACUGCUGCUCUAGCACUCUGAGUGAAAGGACAGGGCAAAGCUUAGAAAAAAAUCCCCUUCUCAGUCAGGUCAGCGCGCAGCUGAACAUCCCAAAUCCUGAAGGUCGGGGAGGGCAGGAAGGCAAGCGCAACCCUCCAACCACGGUGCUCAAGUUCUGCAUCACAAACUGAGACCAGGGAAAUCAGCCGUGGAAGGCAGACAGGAAGAUUUACCACGUCAGCAACUACGAGAAAUUCUGGGCCCAGCGUCCCUCUCCUCAGUUCUGGGCAUUGAGGGUUUGGGGGACAGCUCAGGGACAUAUGGCACAGAUUGCCCUUUGUAGAAUUGGGACUCUUCCGGACCCUUCUGGCCGCAAGGACUCCUCCUUGCAAAGAUACUCCGCUGCCCCCAAUCCCCACCCCUAGCCGAAGAAGAGAUGGCAGGGUGACUCGGGGUGAGCUGGAAAACUUGCUUUUGUUCAGCUUUUGUGGCUGAAAACCUGCUUUGGCAAAAAGUGCUGGCCCCUUGUCUGAUCUAGAAAGUCCUAGGAACACAGGAAGGGAGAGGAGCCUCCAGCUUUAGGGGGUGGGGGUGCUCUGAGAGUGGGGAGGGGGAGGAGAGGGUGACGGGUGCUGAGCUCACGAGGCUGCUGCACGUUUUCACAAGGCUGCUUGCAGCCUUCUCAUGCGCUUAGCUAUUGUUUCCCUCUAUAACUGGAGAUACUUGGCCAGGAAAAGUCUCUGCUGAGGGAUUCUGUCCUUUUAAGAGGCCGCCGCACCCCAUACCCUGCUUUUGUCCUCUGCAUGGUCUCAGAAACAACUUUUGAUGUUCCUUGCCAUUUUAAAUCCCCAAGCUGGAAGUGCUGAGAGCUUAUAGCUCCUCCUCUAGAUCUUUUGACUCCCAGCCCCCGCCUAAAAGGAUUUGGGGGCAGUUUUUAUGCAUUUGGUCUGCACAGUAAGGGCCAAAGACGAGAGGGUUAAUUAAGAUGCCUCUGAAGGAUGAGUGUUGGGUUCAGCUCCGGUCUGGAGGCUUUUCAGAUAUCACCCACUUCAGCCUGCAGCCCCAGUGGUAGAGGGGUGUGGGGAGCAGGGUACGCAUACGCCCUGCCUUUGCAGACACUGCGUGGAGGCCUUCAGGCAACAGGGCCAGCCGGCGGAAGGCGCUUGCCCAGACUGAGAAUAGAGUGUGUCCUGUUUCAGGGGGAGGGGAAGAGGGCCAAUGGUCCAUGGCAAAUAUUUGGGAGCUGCUUUGCCAAGGGCUUGCACCCUAGCCAAGAGCGUAUUGAUGGGCAAACAGUGGCGCUGGCCUCAAGUGGUUAAUUGGGAAGGCAGAGGAGCGAGGAAACUCACUGUUCUCUCGCUCUGCCCCACUUUUUAAAACAUUGCCCGCAUCCCCACCAGCAGGGCUAAGGUCGCAGGGCUUGUUAACCCAGUAGAGUGCUUUCUGCAGGACUGCAGGGACUCAGGGGCCCACAAGGAAUCCAGCUGCUGAGAGAAGAGCCGGGAGUUCUCAUAGUGAAGUCCUGAAAAGCCAAAAACUGGCCAUCUGGGUGAACAGCCCCUGAUUAAACAAAGGCUCUGAAAGGAAAGUUGGGAUUCAAAGUUUGCACUGCUAAUCCCUUUGGCGCAUGAAGAAGGCAGCAUGCCCCACGGUCUGGAGUUUCUUUAACAGGUACAGAAGCAAGCUUAGGGAGAAGCAGCCUCGUGCCCGAGGUCAUGGAGGCUGGAAGCAGGUGUGGUUGGGCCAAGAGGGUCCUCUGGAUUUGUGGCUCCAGAACUGGGUCCGGUCUGUGGCUGUCAUGGCCGUUGGGCUUUCACUUCGCGCAGGAGCAUGUUUGCUGCUGCAUGCAGGGGAAGCUGACCUCGGAAGAGCAAGCCGAGCCCACGCCCGUGGUUAUGUCUGCUCUUGAAGCCAAGCUGGCAGCUGGACGUUUGCCCUGAGCAGAAGAUGAAGGCAAAGGAAUAACGUUUUAGGCAUUUGCGGUAAUUUUCAAAUUAAAGGUUAAUUUUCCUUAAUAUUAACUAGCACAUUUGUUACAUAAAUAUGAGAAAAACCAAGCAGAAAAAAAACAUAAAAAGUGCAAACACUCAGAAGUCUAAACCAAGAUGACAGCCGCGGUCGCCCUCCAAACCCUUCUCUCCUGGCUCUGUGUGCGCAGAUCGGAUCUGGCUACAGGUGUUGCUUAUUAG